UUUGGCUACAGACAAGCAUUUAAAACAAAACAAAACAAAACCUCCACGUUAUUUUACUACAUACCUAAGAAUUCUCAAGUACUUUAAACAUUAAACAUGUGUAUGAUUCACUAUAUCCUGCUCCCCGUCUGUUAAAGACGAGCCUUCUGGGAAUAGCAAGAGUUCUUUAAGACUUCAUUUCAAGCAUCAAGAAUCUCUGGUCUAGGUGGAGAGGAAGGACUAUGUGAAAAUACAAAGAAGAAUAUAAGUUCGAACUGGUCUAUCGUCCAGACCACGGCAGAACCUAUAAAGCAUCUGACCUGUUUUGGGACCAAAUUCUUUCUGGAGUUUUGCCAUGGUCAUAUACUGCAAGUCUCCACAAGUUUUAAUUCCCAAAGAUGUCAACUUGGAUUCCAUCGAAUGUCCAACUCCUAGGAAAGGGGACAGAUGGAUGGACAGAUGGGUAGAUAGUUCUUUAACCCUGCACAUAAACUAUUAAAAACAAUUUAGCAAUAUGAAGUAACUUUCAUGCAAAAACAACUAAGUUAAAAUAAUCUCCCUUAAAAUUCUGAAGUGACAUAACAAGCAUCUCAUGAUUAAAGAAUAUUUUUCGUGCAAA